rnacentral:rRNA from 1 species
UACGGGGGGGGCAAGCGUUGUUCGGAAUUACUGGGCGUAAAGGGCUCGUAGGCGGCCAACUAAGUCAGACGUGAAAUCCCUCGGCUUAACCGGGGAACUGCAUCUGAUACUGGAUGGCUUGAGUUCGGGAGAGGGAUGCGGAAUUCCAGGUGUAGCGGUGAAAUGCGUAGAUAUCAGGAGGAACACCGAUGGCGAAGGCAGGUCUCUGGGCCACUACUGACGCUGAGAAGCGAAAGCAUGGGGAGCGAACAGG